UGGAUCCAGACUUUGAUUAUGGCUCAGGACGAACGCUGGCGGCGUGCUUAACACAUGCAAGUCGAACGGAGAACUUAUUUCGGUAAGUUCUUAGUGGCGAACGGGUGAGUAACGCGUGGGCAACCUGCCCUCCAGUUGGGGACAACAUUCCGAAAGGGAUGCUAAUACCGAAUGUGCUCCCUCCUCCGCAUGGAGGAGGAGGAAAGAUGGCCUCUGCUUGCAAGCUAUCGCUGGAAGAUGGGCCCGCGCCUGAUUAGCUAGUUGGUGGGGUAACGGCUCACCAAGGCGAUGAUCAGUAGCCGGUCUGAGAGGAUGAACGGCCACAUUGGGACUGAGACACGGCCCAAACUCCUACGGGAGGCAGCAGUGGGGAAUCUUCCGCAAUGGACGAAAGUCUGACGGAGCAACGCCGCGUGAGUGAUGAAGGUCUUCGGAUUGUAAAACUCUGUUGUUAGGGACGAAAGCACCGUGUUCGAACAGGUCAUGGUGUUGACGGUACCUAACGAGGAAGCCACGGCUAACUACGUGCCAGCAGCCGCGGUAAUACGUAGGUGGCAAGCGUUGUCCGGAAUUAUUGGGCGUAAAGAGCAUGUAGGCGGGCUUUUAAGUCUGACGUGAAAAUGCGGGGCUUAACCCCGUAUGGCGUUGGAUACUGGAAGUCUUGAGUGCAGGAGAGGAAAGGGGAAUUCCCAGUGUAGCGGUGAAAUGCGUAGAUAUUGGGAGGAACACCAGUGGCGAAGGCGCCUUUCUGGACUGUGUCUGACGCUGAGAUGCGAAAGCCAGGGUAGCAAACGGGAUUAGAUACCCCGGUAGUCCUGGCCGUAAACGAUGGAUACUAGGUGUAGGAGGUAUCGACCCCUUCUGUGCCGGAGUUAACGCAAUAAGUAUCCCGCCUGGGGACUACGAUCGCAAGAUUGCAACUCAAAGGAAUUGACGGA
rnacentral:rRNA from 2 species